UACGAAGGGUGCGAGCGUUAUUCGGAUUGAUUGGGCGUAAAGGGUGCGCAGGCGGCAAGUUAAGUCAAUCGUCAAAUUUCCCGGCUCAACCGGGAGUCGGCGGCAGAUACUGGCUUGCUAGAGGGUGGAAGAGAGAAGUGGAAUUCUCGGAGUAGCGGUAAAAUGCGUAGAUCUCGAGAGGAACACCGAUGGCGAAGGCAGCUUCUUGGCCCACUCCUGACGCUCAUGCACGAAAGCGUGGGGAGCAAACAGG
rnacentral:rRNA from 1 species